rnacentral:misc_RNA from 1 species
ACCGAAGCCCGUACCCGCUUCCGGGCGUGACGGGUGGCUGGUAUCCUCCUUCUGAGGGGUGUAUGGCGCAGCUUGGGCCGGCCUUUGUUUGGUCGUGAAUCCCCAGCGCUGCGGCGGACCAUCCCUUGGGCAAUUCAGUGGGGGCAAUUGGAUAGCUUGUGGGCACCUUUUGCGGCUUCGGCCCUGGGGUGGUCCAGGCUGGGCGCUGGGCUUCGGUCCGCGCCCCGACCUUUUAACUAGCUCUGAGACCUCUUCGUUGAGGGUUGCCGGGCGGCCUUUCGUCUUUCGGGGCGGGAGGGUGGCCCGGGAAAAGAUAGUUACCUGGUUGAUUCUGCCAGUAGUCAUAUGCUUGUCUCAA